CAGUCACAAGUUUGUGCCGUGUGCACAUUUAUGCCAGCCCAGUCGCAGCCCGACUGUCAGUCAGCAGUAGUUACCUUAGGCCCCCCAACGCCCACGCCCCCUUGCCUAUACUCGCAGCUUUUCCGUGCUUCCGCAGUGGCAGCAACAGCAAUAGCAGCAGGAUGCCCGACUGCAGAGUACGUUUUGAAUUUUGUCGCACUUCCUGUUACGGUCGCAGUGGGUGGGCGAGGGGCUGGUGGGCGGCUGCGCCCAGAGCUGUGCGCUUGAGCUCGGCUCACUGAACUAGUUCGGUGGCGCCCUUUAUGCUUUGCCUCAAUCAAUUGUGACUUUAAUGUUAGCAUAAAAAUAAUAAGUCAAACUUAAGUUCACAUUUAAACUGAACAAUUGCUUGGAGUUGUGCACUUUGAGUUAUUUAUCUCUCGUGUCAAAGCAAAUCAAAUUAAAACAGCAGCAAAACAGGCAAUUGAACGCUGCUGGAACUCACGAACUGACGAAGCGACUCGAAUGAACAGUUGGAAUGAACUAAAUGAACAAUGGGCAUGAACAGAAUGAACGAUAUUGUCAAAUGUAGAUCACAGUCAGUUCCGCGUCUAGUUCAAACGAACCAGCUGUGAACGAUUUGGUGCAACUCUGGCGUGCGAACUUGUGGGGCGGGCCGCGCCAUUUUAUGUGGGCCGGUGUCCUGGCCCCAGCGCGAGCCGCGUGCUCUUCCGCUUUUGCUCUGUCAUCAGCAACGUAAUUUCCGCUCUGCCAGGCCCGGCUGUGCUUUGUGUCUGCGCGUGGGUGGGCCAAAAAAAAAAAGAAAAAAAAGAAAGCAAAAGCAAAAGCAAAAUGCGAAACAAAAAAGGAUUAAGGGCUGGAGAAAACUGUGUAGCCGAGACAAAAACUGCAGCGAUUGACCUCCAGCCGGAGUUCAUAAACAUCAAGUGGCCGGCAUAUCAAAUGGCCAAUGGUUCGGGCAACAAGUGAUCCGCUCCCAGUUGAGGACAGGUAUCAAAAACAACAACAGCAACAACAACAACAACAACAACUUGGCAGUUCAUCAAAUUCUCAUGUGACCAGAGCCCAAAAGGUUCAAUUCGUUCGUUUCAUACGAAAUUUGAUAUGCGGGUCACAUAUUAAUGACUUCUUUCAUUUUACAUAACACUCGAUUCGAUGAACUGGCGACAGCCCCCCCGCCCGGCCCCGCCCGACCGACUGCAAGCAGAGCUAUUGCACCCAGCACUUGUUGGAUUCUAGGGCUUGGCCGUUGCCGCCUCGGAAAUUCCCAUUCCACCCGAUCGUGGCGACCCUUUUUGACAGUACCCAGUAACCAGGCGCGUGAUGGAACGCCGGACAAUGGAAGUGCCACCGAGGAGUGUGUGUGUGUGUGCGUGUGUGUGUGCCCCGCCUGGUUAGUGGCAACAGGUAGCGAGUGCAUUUGUAUGCAGCAUGGCGGAUGCGCCGGCCGAAGCGUUUAUUUCUUCAUUUGACGCAAAUGAUGUUCGACACAAGCCUGGAAUGCACUAAACCGCUAACUAAGCACAAUCCGAAGCCCGAAUCCACCAAUCCCCAAAUCCCAAAACCCAAACCCAAACCCGAAGCCGAAGCCGAGAGCUGAUGUCGAAACUGAAACCGAAGCUAAGCCAGAACCAGAGUUUUCUGACCGCAGCACGCAAAGGGAAAGGCAACCGACUGCAACAACAACAACAUAUGGCCAGAUACACUAGUUUUCAGAACUUUCUCUACCUUCUCCUCGACGACAUCAAAUCUCUAACCCUGCAGCUGAGCUCAAAAAUUGUGUUGAUUUUCCGAAAAGAAACUUACUUUGUGACAAAAAAUUUCUCGCGGUGCAUGAUUCUUGUUAUUUGAAACCCGGAUUUAAACAGAACAUGAAAAAGAAAGAAGAACGAGCCACAAAUUACUUUUACCGAUCACAAACACACAACAACAACAACAACAAGAAGAACAAGAGCCAGGCGAGGAAUAAGAACAUGAAGACGCGGAGAAUGACGACGAUGAUGACAAGUCGAAGUGAAGUGGACACCAGCUGAAUGCAAAUGCAUAAAUUAAGCGACAAGCAAACAAAUUUCCUAUGUACAAAUGCACUUGUCCAAAGGUUGGGCACAAUGCCCGAUCCUCAAUAUGCCAUGCCCACGCAUCCAUUCGCGGCCCAAACAAAUUGUGCAUGCAAAACCGAAUUCUCGACAAGAAUAUGGGCAUUAUUAUUAUGGUAUUAUUUUGUUUCUUGUAAGGCCGCCAAGCCGGAUGAACUUAUUGUUUAUGACAAUUUUGUUGAUGUUAUGCGGAAUUCCGAAAGAAACAUGGGCCAAGGCGUUGACAGCCUACAAAGUAACUUGUUAAGCGAUUUUUGAUUCUCACUGCAAGCAAGAAAUAUGGCAAAUAGCUAUUGUUACGACUGAGGAUUCGAACCUUUAACCAGAUUUUCACUAGUUCAAACCUUAAACCUUAUCAUAAACACUUCAAUUGAAAAUUAAAAAAAAAAAUGAUCUAAUUUUCGCCUAUUUUUAAUAUAAAAAAAAGCAAUUCAAAAUUAUUCGAACUCUUUAACUAAUUUUUCACAGGUUCAAACCUCAAUCUCUUAUCUUAAAUACUUCAAUUGAACAUUUUACAAAUCUAUAUUUUUUGGGCUUUUACCUUGAAAAUAACAUUCAAUUUUAAAUGAUAAAAAAUUGUUUAAAAAUAACCGAAGUUUCUAUUCUAAGCGAGAAUAUUUGUUGAUCAAGAAUUGGGUUUUCAAAAUUCGAUGGUUCAUCCUUGGCUGUUAUUUUUUUGAAAUUGGCUCCGAACUAGUUCAUGGCGGGAAAUUCAAACACUUUAUGCACAAUUAACCAUUCAUAUUGUCGGCACUGUGCAGUCCUUACUGCCACCUAUCAAAAGGAAUUAAGCUUUAAUGAAAAAUUGCAUUGAAUUUCAGUUAUAUAAAAGUGAUAACUUUUAAUGUUUUUUUUUUCGUUUGUUUAUAUUGCAAAUAACUAUAACAAAACAAUAAUUAAUUGAACAGAUUUCAGUAAAAUCGAAGCUUGUCAGUGGAAAAAAGCUGUUGUAGUGCAUUCCUGUGUUGGCACCGUCAAAGAGUAGUAAACUAUUCGACUACACUAAGCUACAUGUAAAAUAUAUAUAUAUGCAUAUAUGUUUAUAUAUAAGUAAUGUGCACUUAAAUUGUCUAGCAAAAAUUGUAACACUAAAAUAAUUCACAAUCACUGCUUAACUAGUA